UCCCAAUCAAGGCCAGCACAGGCAGACCCUGACGCACCGUGAGGACUUGGUUAUAAGCAGUCUUGCAUAUAUUUAGCCUCUUCCAUUCUUUCUCCUUCCCUCCCUAUUCCACGGAAACUCACCAAGUGCUCCAGCUGGCUGGCUGCUGGGAAAGGGUGGCCAGUGCAGACAGCAAGGCAGUGCCACCAGCCUCCCGGGAGUCAAGACAGCUCCAGAUGUGAUCUCCUGAGACACCUGUGCCAGUGUGCCUGCUGCUAACACUUGUGUUGUUACCACCUGGAAAGAAGGAAGGGCAGCAGCUUUCCUUACUGCAUCCCUCAGAGCAACAUCAACGACAUUAAUUAUUUUUCAGUGAGAGGAACAUUAAGAGGAAUAAUCCCACCCAGCCUAAUUAAUUUACCAAUCUUUGUAUUGAAUCAGUAAUCAUUUUCAUCCCAAGUGCCUUUUAUUGCAGAUUGACUGUUAUUUUUAAAAUACGUUCUGCUGAUAAGAUCUUACAUUGUGUUUCUCCAAGAUGACUGGUUACAGCAAAUCUAUUAAUAACUUCUUAAUGAAGUGAGAGGUUUUUUUAAUAUGUCUUAAUCUAAGCUGUGCUAACAUUUCAGUGUGAGAGGAAUUAAUUUAGAAACUUCAGAUAUGGUUUUCGUUUAAAUAAGAUUGAGUGUUCCAAGAUUCGUACAUCAGCAUGGUUUUCUACCUAAAACGGAAUUUUACAAUAUUAGAUAUCACAAUAGUAGGUUUCUGUUUAUUGUUUAUUUACCUUGAAGAAAUAGCUGUCCAUUAAAAGGAUAUAUUCUUAUUUUCUUUUUGUCAGGAGCAUGUUCACAAUGUUCUCAUUCUUCUGUUUCCUUCCUGUGAACAAUGCCCUAGACAUUGCUGAUACGCAGCUAUGGCAUUCACAGGCAUAUUAAAGUUAUUUACAAAAUUGUUGGAAGCAGAGGCAGUCUGGAGUACACAUCCCAGAAUAUAUUGCCUUUAGAAACUCUAGUUAUAAAGUCAUUUCCUCUAGUUUAAUCAGAGCCCUGAAAUGUUUCGAAUGGCGUUGUAUAAACAAAGCAAAAUAUUAAACAAUAUCCUCCCUGUUUCUCUCAGCGAAUGAAUAACUCUGUAUUUCCCUAGGGAGAGAAACUCCAUAAGACCUG
rnacentral:lncRNA from 1 species